GCGCGAAAACUUCGCACUGUGCGAAAGCACGACGAGGGAAUCCCAAGUGCUGGCUCGUAAGAGUCAGCUGUUUUUCUGUCUAAAAAACAGGGAGAGUAAGAGCUGGGUAAGACGGGUGCCAGCCGCCGCGGUAAUACCUGCAGCUCAAGUGGUGGCCGCUAUUAUUGGGCCUAAAAACGUCCGUAGCCGGUUUCAUAAAUGCCUGGGUAAAUCGUACGGCUUAACCGUAUGAAUUCCGGGUAGACUGUUUAACUUGAGACCGGGAGAGGCUAGAGGUACUCCUGGGGUAGAGGUGAAAUUCUGUAAUCCUAGGGGGACCACCAGUGGCGAAGGCGUCUAGCUAGAACGGGUCUGACGGUGAGGGACGAAGCCCUGGGGAGCAAACGGGAUUAGAUACCCCCGGUAGUCCAGGGUGUAAACGCUGCUCGCUUGAUGUUAGUCGGGCUCCGAGCCCAACUAGUGUCGGAGAGAAGUUGUUAAGCGAGCGUGCCUGGGGAGUACGGUCGCGAAGACUGAAAACCUUAAAGGAAGUUGGGCGGGGGAGCGACCGCAACGGGUGG
rnacentral:rRNA from 1 species